rnacentral:rRNA from 1 species
AGUGAACGCUGGCGGUAGGCCUAACACAUGCAAGUCGAACGGCAGCACAGUAAGAGCUUGCUCUUACGGGUGGCGAGUGGCGGACGGGUGAGGAAUACAUCGGAAUCUACUUUUUCGUGGGGGAUAACGUAGGGAAACUUACGCUAAUACCGCAUACGACCUACGGGUGAAAGCAGGGGAUCUUCGGACCUUGCGCGAUUGAAUGAGCCGAUGUCGGAUUAGCUAGUUGGCGGGGUAAAGGCCCACCAAGGCGACGAUCCGUAGCUGGUCUGAGAGGAUGAUCAGCCACACUGGAACUGAGACACGGUCCAGACUCCUACGGGAGGCAGCAGUGGGGAAUAUUGGACAAUGGGCGCAAGCCUGAUCCAGCCAUACAGCGUGGGUGAAGAAGGCCUUCGGGUUGUAAAGUCCUUUUGUUGGGAAAGAAAAGCAGCAGGUUAAUACCCCGCUGUUCUGACGGUACCCAAAGAAUAAGCACCGGCUAACUUCGUG